rnacentral:rRNA from 1 species
AUUGAACGCUGGCGGCAGGCCUAACACAUGCAAGUCGAACGGUAACAGGAAGAAGCUUGCUUCUUUGCUGACGAGUGGCGGACGGGUGAGUAAUGUCUGGGAAACUGCCUGAUGGAGGGGGAUAACUACUGGAAACGGUAGCUAAUACCGCAUAACGUCGCAAGACCAAAGAGGGGGACCUUCGGGCCUCUUGCCAUCGGAUGUGCCCAGAUGGGAUUAGCUAGUAGGUGGGGUAACGGCUCACCUAGGCGACGAUCCCUAGCUGGUCUGAGAGGAUGACCAGCCACACUGGAACUGAGACACGGUCCAGACUCCUACGGGAGGCAACAGUGGGGAAUAUUGCACAAUGGGCGCAAGCCUGAUGCAGCCAUGCCGAGUGUAUGAAGAAGGCCUUCGGGUUGUAAAGUACUUUCAGCGGGGAGGAAGGGAGUAAAGUUAAUACCUUGACUCAUUGACGUUACCCGCAGAAGAAGCACCGGCUAACUCCGUG